UUCAUCAUGAAUGUUCAAAUAAAAAUAGUUGUCUCCUAAUUGUACAUGUUGGCUUGUCCUCUGUAUAGAAGUUUGAAUCGUACACUUGUCAGUUUGUGUGUGUGUUGUUAAAAUUCUCUGUUAGGUUUGACCAAGAUACAACAGUUUGGCGCAUACAUCGUUUGCAUGCCUAUCUCUCCCAUUUUGCACAGUUUUCCUAAGUGACCUUAAGUUCAGUCGCAUCUGUAGGUGUGGGUGCAGAAAAAACAUUUGCAUCAGUUCAAAAUGAAACACAAAAACAGUAUGAUGCGUAGUUUGAUGUGUGUGUUAAAAACAAAACAGUACGGUUUUGCAUUAUAUUUUGUUCACUAAACAAAAAAAGUUCUAUCAGUUCAGCAAAGAAAAACCCUCUCCUCCUGUCAAUCCCACUUCAACGGCCGCGUAAUUCCAUUUCCCCUUCUUUCUCUCUAGCCAUUACCUCGGCCGCCGGCCACCACGCUCCUGCACCUUGCUGCUUGUUCUCUGUUGGUGGUGCACGCCACUGGCGAUAGAUGGUAGCUACUCUUGAUGCACAUUUUUUCACUACUGGCUGUGCGUACGCAUUGGUGUGCUGUAGAGUGAUGUGAAACACUCAGUUCAAUUUCACAUUAACUAACUCGUCACACACUCAGUUCAAUUUCUUCAGUGGCAAAAAAGUGGAACCUGCAGGAGAAGCCACGGGGGGCGAGGACGUCCAACUCGGCGAGAUUAACGUCAUAGUCGACCCCAUGUUCGCUGGCAAGACCACCGUGGUUCUCCGCCGGCACCGUGACGAUCGCAUCAGCUUCACCCUCUCCUUUCUGCUGUAGUCCAUGGCUGGAGCUUGCUGGCGAUGGCGGAUGUGGAGCUUCACCACCAUUCGCAGCUCCAAACCGUGAUCCAGUUCUUCGUGAGGCUCUCGAGCUUGUAUUUUUUUCCAGUUCAUCUAAUGUUAGGGACAGUCAUCCGGGUGCAUGGGAGCAACUGCUGAUGGAGGACGAGUCAAAGUGUUGUGACUGGCUGCUAUAGAUCCUCUGAUGCCAGUCUGUGCUUCUUCAGUUGUAAAAUUCCCAGAGCGUCAGUGCAACUACAUAUCAGGCCUCCCCCACUGCACCGCCGCCCCGAUCACCAGCCUCCCCGGGCAUGGUACGCAACCCACUCCUUGUGCCACACCGUCCUCCAUGCCCUGCCCCGCGCCACCAGCCGCCGCCUCCCUCCCGCGCAACUUCUCCCAAGGCUUGCGCUCAGCGGCCGCGGGGGGAGCAUCGGGGUCGAGGAUCUUCAUCUCGGCAGUACAACUGCAUGCCUCGUCGACGUUCAUGAAAAGUGUUGCUGUUGUACACUCAACACAGGUGCACGCAGCAAUAAGGGAGAAGUUGUUGUUGUACACUCAACACAGGUGAACGCAGCAAUAAGGGAGAAGCGCACAUGAAGCAGGUGAGGAGGUGUGUGUGCGAGAGAUGAUACUCAACUUGUACUGCUGCUGUACUCGCGUGUGAAUGAUUCUUUUUUUUCCUGCUCAUUCUUGUACUGCUUGCCAUAAAAAAACCUGACGACAGAAUACUUGAUAUUUGUGUAUUCUAUCAUCAGUUCAUGGAGGAAAUUCUUUUUUCUUCA